UACGUAGGUGGCAAGCGUUGUCCGGCUUUAUUGGGUUUAAAGGGUGCGUAGGCGGCCCUGUAAGUCAGUGCUGAAAUAUCCCGGCUUAACCGGGAGGGUGGCAUUGAUACUGCAGGGCUUGAGUGAAGUCGAGGUAGGCGGAAUUGACGGUGUAGCGGUGAAAUGCUUAGAUAUCGUCAAGAACACCGAUAGUGAAGACAGCUUACUAGGCUUAUACUGACGCUGAGGCACGAAAGUGUGGGGAUCAAACAGG
rnacentral:rRNA from 1 species